rnacentral:misc_RNA from 1 species
ACGCGUUUGUCUGUUCGCCAGGGUGCACCGCAUCUCUUUCAAACAGUCGUUUUGUUGUAACUUUUUCGUUCUCUUUUUCUUCAUACACACGUCGUCACCGCCAUCACAGGUAACAAAGACGCCACCCCUCUUUUUGCCGCCACCACCGGCGUCUCUCCGACAACGGUGGUGGAGGGAACUAUCAUGAUCCUCCCUCACGCCGAGGAAGUAGAGCUGCGCCGCGGGUCAUCGCCGGCAACCAUCACCUCCACCACGGGGCGCGUAAACCGUGUCGCCGUGGAAACUAGCAGCGAGGAAAACCAGGAGGCGGUCUCGCAGGACAGGCUUGAGGGCCGCGAUGGCGCAGGGAAGUGCCCCGCUACAUCCGCGAGCCUCGGUACACCCUCGAAGAAAGACUGUUUCCAAGCCACCUCCUCUAAGGUGAAGGGUGCCUUGAGCGCGCCCCGCCGCGCCGCCUACGAAUUCCACGACAUGUUCGGCUUCCUCGUAACAGAGGAGGAGAAGGCCGCGGAGGACUACGAGCGCCGAAACAACGGUUACAGCCGCGCAUAUCUGGAUAAGUGGGAGUACAUGAUGGACCACUGGGCCAGCGUGAAGCAUGACACACUGAAGAGGUACUGCAGACGCGGAGUGCCGCAACCGAAGCGGUGCGCUGUCUGGCAGCACCUGCUGCAGAGCUGGGGAAUGAAGGAUCGUCUCCCAGGGGUGUACAUGCGCCUCCACAGUCAGCCACUCGACUCCAAAGACUUGGCAGACGUCAUCGCGCGCGACCUCGAUCGCACCUUCCCGACGAACCGCCUCUUCAGCGUGAGGUCGGGCCAGGGGCAGCAGAUGCUGCGCCGCAUCCUUCACGCCUACGCAAACUACAACCCCGACGUGGGGUACUGCCAGGGCAUGGGCUUCCUCGCUGCCACCCUCAUCCUCCAGGUGGAGGAGGAGGAGGACGCCUUUUGGGCCUUUGUCGCUGUCAUGGAGAACGCCAAGUACAAUAUGAAGGCCGUCUUCGCCCCUAGCUUCCCGCAACUGCAAUGUGCCUUUUACGUCUUCGAGGCACUGAUGCGCCAGAAGAUGCGGAAGCUGUACGCCCACCUGCACGACAGGCAUACUAUUCCCCCGUGUUUCUACGCUGUACACUGGUUCAUGACCAUCUUUACAUACUACUUCAACUUUGGUCUUGUGUCCCGCAUCUGGGACAUGUUUCUCUGCGAGGGGUGGAAGCCGGUGUACCGCAUCGCGCUGGCGCUGCUCAAGAUCGAGGAGCGGCGGUUGCUGUCACUGAACACAGAUACAGAACUGCUGCUGGUACUCAAGGGCAUUCAGGAGUCGAAACGUCCUGCUGAGCUGCUCAAGACCGCGCUCAAAAUACGUUUCAAGAGCGCCUACAUGAACGAGUUAAUGACUGAGUACAGCGGGCAACCAAGUUAGCGGGCGUGUUGCGGAGCGCACGUACGUCUCUUAGUGCCCAUCCAAUUGAGCGGACCCCGCGAGCGACAGGCCAGCCCGGGUGGACGUGCGCAUGCGUUCACGCGCGUACAGCAAAGAAGACGCUCUGUAUAUUCCCCUCUAUAUUUCUGCCCAUCACGGUUCUCCUUCAGCUCGCUUCAGUGGAGCGGGGGGGGGCAGAUGGGUGCCACAGUGCAGAAGUGGGCGGUGUAUUCGGUGUGAGCGGUACCCAGCUCAUACACAGAGAGAGAGGCUCACGCGAAAUUGUGCGCACAGUUGUGCGUGAUGCGGCCUUUGCGGUUUUAGUAGUUUGCCUCCCCUAUGCCGGCCCCACUUUGAUGCCCUGUAUCUGUUACUACUCCGCUCGAUUUGGAAUUGCGUCGUCGUCUUUUUGCUUUCUGUGCUUGAGCUUCUCGACCUUCCCGAC